rnacentral:rRNA from 1 species
UACGAAGGGUGCUAGCGUUGUUCGGAAUUACUGGGCGUAAAGCGUACGUAGGCGGUUUUGUAAGUCGAUUGUGAAAGCCCUGGGCUCAACCCGGGAACUGCAACCGAUACUGCUUUACUUGAGUUUGGUGGGGGAUGGUGGAAUUCCUAGUGUAGGGGUGAAAUCCGUAGAUAUUAGGAGGAACACCAGUGGCGAAAGCGGCCAUCUACGCCAAUACUGACGCUAAGGUACGAAAGCGUGGGGAGCAAACAGG